GCAUAUCAAUAAGCGGAGGGAAUAGAAACCAACAGGGAUUGCCCUAGUAACGGCGAAGUGAAGCGGCAACAGCUCAAAUUUGAAAUCUGGCUCUCUUUGGGGGUCCGAGUUGUAAUUUGCAGAGGAUGCUUUGGCAUUGGCGGCGGUCUAAGUUCCUUGGAACAGGACAUCACAGAGGGUGAGAAUCCCGUACGUGGUCGCCUGCCUUUGCCGUGUAAAGCUCCUUCGACGAGUCGAGUUGUUUGGGAAUGCAGCUCUAAAUGGGAGGUAAAUUUCUUCUAAAGCUAAAUACUGGCCAGAGACCGAUAGCGCACAAGUAGAGUGAUCGAAAGAUGAAAAGUACUUUGGAAAGAGAGUCAAAAAGCACGUGAAAUUGUUGAAAGGGAAGCGCUUGCAGCCAGACUUGCCCGCAGUUGCUCACCUAGGCUUUGGCCUGGGGCACUCUUCUGCGGGCAGGCCAGCAUCAGUUUGGGCGGUUGGAUAAAGGCCUCUGUCACGUAUCUCCCUUCGGGGUGACCUUAUAGGGGAGGCGCAAUGCAACCAGCCCGGACUGAGGUCCGCGCAUCUGCUAGGAUGCUGGCGUAAUGGCUGUAAGCGGCCCGUCUUGAAACACGGACCAAGGAGUCUAACAUCUAUGCGAGUGUUUGGGUGUCAAGCCCGAGCGCGCAAUGAAAGUGAACGGAGGUGGGAACCCUUUGGGUGCACCAUCGACCGAUCCUGAUGUCUUCGGAUGGAUUUGAGUAAGAGCAUAGCUGUUGGGACCCGAAAGAUGGUGAACUAUGCUUGAAUAGGGUGAAGCCAGAGGAAACUCUGGUGGAGGCUCGCAGCGGUUCUGACGUGCAAAUCGAUCGUCAAAUUUGGGCAUAGGGGCGAAAGACUAAUCGAAACCAUCUAGUAGCUG
rnacentral:rRNA from 1 species